rnacentral:rRNA from 1 species
CCUACAUGAAGUUGGAAUCGCUAGUAAUCGCGAAUCAGAAUGUCGCGGUGAAUACGUUCCCGGGUCUUGUACACACCGCCCGUCACACCACGAGAGUUUACAACACCCGAAGUCAGUGGCCUAACCGCAAGGAGGGAGCUGCCUAAGGUGGGGUAGAUGAUUGGGGUGAAGUCGUAACAAGGUACC